rnacentral:lncRNA from 10 species
UGGUCUACGCUUAUCAAUGGAUUCCAUGCUGCUGGUCACAGUUCAGGGGUGUAGCAAUGACAAUUGCAAAAAAAAAAAAACAUUGAUAAGUGAGACCUAAUUAAACCAAAGAACUUCUGCACAGCAAAAGAAACUAUUAACAGAUUAAACAGACAACCUACAGAGUGGGAGAAAAUAUUCACAACUAUGUACCUGAGAAAGGACUAAUACCAGAAUCUAUAAGGAACUUAAACAAAUCAACAAGAAAAAACAAAUAACCUCAUUAAAAAGUGGGCACAGGACAAGAACAGACACUUCUGAAAGACAAACGAGUGACUAACAAAUAUAUGAAACAAUGCCUAAC